AACUUGUCUUGACUCCAUUUUUGGUAAAAAUCUAAUGGCGCUUUCUCUGUUGAGUUCAAGAGCUUCUUCAAAUCGAAUGAUCUUUUUACAAUGGAAACGAAAUUUAUCGAUAAAAGACAUAGCUGUUCAGUUGGUUACUACUCGAAAAAAAAUUGAUCAAACAGUUUUACAAAAAAUAGAGGAGCAAGACAAGGAAAAUAUAAUUAAUGCAAAUAUUUAUAAAUGCUCAGAAUAUUACAAGUACAACGAUAUGUCUUUCUAUGACAUUGAAAAAGACAUUGCUGCUUGCAGUUACCGCCAGCCUCAACCUGUUUCAAAUCUUUAAAUACUUAUUGUUUUAUGGCCUUUUUGUUAAAUCACUAUUAAGUAAUUAACAAAUAUCAGUUAUGCA
rnacentral:misc_RNA from 1 species